GAUGAACGCUGGCGGCGUGCCUAAUACAUGCAAGUCGAACGAGGUGCCUUUGUAGCAAUACGAAGGUAUCCUAGUGGCGAACGGGUGAGUAACGCGUUGGUGACCUACCCCAAAGUGUGGGAUAACAGAUCGAAAGAUCUGCUAAUACCGCAUGUGGUCUUCGGAUUUAGAAACUGAUGACUAAAGGAGCAAUUCGCUUUGGGAGGGACCUGCGUCCCAUCAGCUAGUUGGUGAGGUAAUGGCUCACCAAGGCUACGACGGGUAGGGGACCUGAGAGGGUGGCCCCCCCACAAUGGAACUGAAACACGGUCCAUACACCUACGGGUGGCAGCAGUAGGGAAUAUUGCACAAUGGGCGAAAGCCUGAUGCAGCAACGCCGCGUGUGCGAUGAAGGCCUUGGGUCGUAAAGCACUUUUCUGAGGGAUGAGCAAGGACAGUACCUCAGGAAUAAGUCUCGGCUAACUACGUGCCAGCAGCCGCGGUAAU
rnacentral:rRNA from 1 species